AUUGAACGCUGGCGGCACGCCUAACACAUGCAAGUCGAGCGGCAGCGCGAUAUGUAGCAAUACAUAUUGGCGGCGAGCGGCGGACGGGUGAGGAACACGUAGGAACCUACCCUCGAGUGGGGGAUAACCAAGGGAAACUUUGGCUAAUACCGCAUGAUCUCGAGAGAGCAAAGCUGCCGCAAGGUGGCGCUCGAGGAGGGGCCUGCGUCCGAUUAGCUAGUUGGUGAGGUAAGAGCUCACCAAGGCGAGGAUCGAUAACUGGUCUGAGAGGACGACCAGUCACACUGGGACUGGGACACGGCCCAGACUCCUACGGGAGGCAGCAGUGGGGAAUAUUGGACAAUGGGGGCAACCCUGAUCCAGCGAUGCCGCGUGAGUGAAGAAGGCCUUCGGGUCGUAAAGCUCUUUAGGUUGGGAAGAAGAGUGAUGGAGGAAAUGCUAUCACUUUGACGGUACCGACAGAAUGAGCACCGGCAAACUCUGUGCCAGCAGCCGCGGUAAAAC
rnacentral:rRNA from 1 species